ACUGGGCACGGUGGUGCAUGCCUGUAGUCCCAGCUACUCGGGAGGCUGAGGUGGGAGGAUCGCUUGAGCCCAGGAGUUCUGGGCUGCAGUGUGCUAUGCCGAUCGGGUGUCUGCACUAAGUAUGGCAUCAAUAUGGUGACCUCCCGGGAGUGGGGGACCACCAGGUUGCCUAAGGAGGGGUGAACCGGCCCAGGUUGGAAACGGAGCGGGUCAAAACUCCCGUGCUGAUCAGUAGUGGGAUCGCUCCUGUGAAUAGCCACUGCACUCCAGCCUGGGCAACAUAGCGAGACCCCGUCUCUU
ensembl:misc_RNA Metazoa_SRP Metazoan signal recognition particle RNA